GAUGAACGCUGGCGGCGUGCCUAAUACAUGCAAGUCGAGCGAACGGACGAGAAGCUUGCUUCUCUGAUGUUAGCGGCGGACGGGUGAGUAACACGUGUAUAACCUACCUAUAAGACUGGGAUAACUUCGGGAAACCGGAGCUAAUACCGGAUAAUAUUUUGAACCGCAUGGUUCAAAAGUGAAAGACGUUCUUGCUGUCACUUAUAGAUGGAUCCGCGCUGCAUUAGCUAGUUGGUAAGGUAACGGCUUACCAAGGCAACGAUGCAUAGCCGACCUGAGAGGGUGAUCGGACAAACUGGAACUGAGACACGGUCCAGACGCCUACGGGAGGCAGCAGUAGGGAAUCGUCCGCAAUGGGCGAAAGCAUGACGGAGCAACGCCGAGUGAGUGAUGAAGGUCUUCGGAUCGUAAAACUCUGUUAUUAGGGAAGAACAUAUGUGUAAGUAACUGUGCACAGCGUGACGGUAACUAAUCAGAAAGCCACGGCUAACUACGUG
rnacentral:rRNA from 1 species